rnacentral:rRNA from 1 species
AGAGCGAACGCUGGCGGCAGGCCUAAUACAUGCAAGUCGAACGGACCCUUCGGGGUUAGUGGCGGACGGGUGAGUAACACGUGGGAACGUGCCCUUUGGUUCGGAACAACUCAGGGAAACUUGAGCUAAUACCGAAUGUGCCCCCAUCCUUAAACAAGAUGGGUGGGAAAGAUUUAUCGCCAUUGGAGCGGCCCGCGUCUGAUUAGCUAGUUGGUGAGGUAAAGGCUCACCAAGGCGACGAUCAGUAGCUGGUCUGAGAGGAUGAUCAGCCACACUGGGACUGAGACACGGCCCAGACUCCUACGGGAGGCAGCAGUAGGGAAUCUUGCGCAAUGGGCGAAAGCCUGACGCAGCCAUGCCGCGUGAAUGAUGAAGGUCUUAGGAUUGUAAAAUUCUUUCAGCGGGGACGAUAAUGACGGUACCCGCAGAAGAAGCCCCGGCUAACUUCGUGCCAGCAGCCGC